GUGACACAAAAAGUUCCCCAUUCCUCCUCCUCCUCCUCCAUGGUGCUUGUUCUUCAAUCGAGAUCGACAACACAUACAUAUAGACAUUGGUGGUUGAGGGUUCUAGUGGACAUGAUUAAAGGCUGGCUGGCUGGUCAUUAAUCCAAGCAUUUUAGGACCUGCUCGGCAUAGUUUGGUUGGAGCAUAUUAUUAUUAUUAUUACUCUAUGGUUAGACAUUGGUGGUUGAGUAGUGGACAUGAUUAAAGGCUGCCUGGUCAAUCAGAUUUCAUUAAUCUAAGCAUUUUAGGGCCUGCUCACCAUAGUUUGGUUUGGUUUGGUUGGAGCAUAUUAUUAUUAUUACUCUAUGGUGAAUCAUGUAGCAGCCGUUGGAUCAAGAGUUGGUGUCUGCUAGGGAUGAGCAAAUUAGGUUCGGUACUGGACGGUACCGAGCUCAUCCCUAUAGUGUCUGCUGCUGCCAUAUCACUAUUUUUGCUCUGAAAAACCACAAAGGAACAACAAUUUAACAAGCGAGAUAAGACAGGAGUGCGUUUGCGUGAUCUCGCAGUUCUUCGACUCUCCUUUCCAGAGCUCUAUUCCUCCUUGCAGCAUCAGACUGUCAACAUAAGUUUCCAAAAGACGAUACACUCUGUUUAUCAUAUUCAAUUGCCUCUCAGUCUUGGUUUAUCGUCAGUGAGGUAACAGCAAUUUUCUUUCUAGGGUUUCCUAAUCUUCUGUUGUGAUUAUGAACAACAACAACUUAGAGGGUGUUUGGGGUUGAGUUUUGAAAAUAGAUUAUGUGUUUUGAAUAAUCAGAAUCAGAUAAUUAGCUGUAACAAAACGUGCUGCAGAAAGAUAGUGUUUGGAUUUGAUUAUGUUGUUUGAUAUCACAAUAAUCAGAUAAUCAACUAUUUGAGUGUUUGGCAAAUAUAUAUAUUUUAAAAAAUAAAUAAGUGAAAUGACAAAAAAAAUCAGUUUUUGGAUUAUCACGUUUUCCUGCAGUAAGGGGUGACCUACUUUUGGAUUAUCACGUUUUGAUCUCUACAAAACGUAAAAAAUCUGUUUUUAUUAAUUUUUUACCAAACACUCAAAAUACAUUUUUUUGCGAUUUCAAAACACAAUAAUAAAAAAAUCAGGUUGAAAAAGCAAUCCCAAACACACCCUUAGACUAUCCCCAUUAGUGACCUUCAUGUAGUUGGGUUGCCACUUGUUAAAAUAUUAUUGGUUGUACUA
rnacentral:lncRNA from 1 species